rnacentral:rRNA from 1 species
GGCGGACGGGUGAGUAACACGUGGGAACGUGCCUUUAGGUUCGGAAUAACUCAGGGAAACUUGUGCUAAUACCGAAUGUGCCCUUCGGGGGAAAGAUUUAUCGCCUUUAGAGCGGCCCGCGUCUGAUUAGCUAGUUGGUGAGGUAAAGGCUCACCAAGGCGACGAUCAGUAGCUGGUCUGAGAGGAUGAUCAGCCACAUUGGGACUGAGACACGGCCCAAACUCCUACGGGAGGCAGCAGUGGGGAAUCUUGCGCAAUGGGCGAAAGCCUGACGCAGCCAUGCCGCGUGAAUGAUGAAGGUCUUAGGAUUGUAAAAUUCUUUCACCGGGGACGAUAAUGACGGUACCCGGAGAAGAAGCCCCGGCUAACUUCGUGCCAGCAGCCGCGGUAAUACGAAGGGGGCUAGCGUUGCUCGGAAUUACUGGGCGUAAAGGGAGCGUAGGCGGACAUUUAAGUCAGGGGUGAAAUCCCGGGGCUCAACCUCGGAAUUGCCUUUGAUACUGGGUGUCUUGAGUAUGAGAGAGGUGUGUGGAACUCCGAGUGUAGAGGUGAAA